GAGAGACUGUAUCUGAAUUUAUAAAGAGGAUCUGCACCGAAAUAACCUAUAAACAGAGGACUGAUCUGUGAAAGAUGCCAUUUUAUUUGUCAUGGCUAUUAAGAUGA